rnacentral:rRNA from 1 species
AGGUUGACCUCGGAUCAGGUAGGAAUACCCGCUGAACUUAAGCAUAUCAAUAAGCGGAGGAAAAGAAACCAACAGGGAUUGCUCAGUAACGGCGAGUGAAGCGGCAACAGCUCAAAUUUGAAAUCUGGCCGCAAGGUCCGAGUUGUAAUUUGUAGAGGAUGCUUUUGGCGAGGUGCCUUCCGAGUUCCCUGGAACGGGACGCCAUAGAGGGUGAGAGCCCCGUACGGUAGGACCACCAAGCCUCUGUAAAGCUCCUUCGACGAGUCGAGUAGUUUGGGAAUGCUGCUCUAAAUGGGAGGUGUACGUCUUCUAAAGCUAAAUACCGGCCAGAGACCGAUAGCGCACAAGUAGAGUGAUCGAAAGAUGAAAAGCACUUUGAAAAGAGGGUUAAAAAGUACGUGAAAUUGUUGAAAGGGAAGCAUUCAUGACCAGACUUGGGCUUGGUUGAACAUCCGGCGUUCUCGCCGGUGCACUCUGCCAGUCCAGGCCAGCAUCAGUUUGCCCCGGGGGAUAAAGGCGGCGGGAAUGUGGCUCCCUUCGGGGAGUGUUAUAGCCCGUCGUGUAAUGCCUGGGGCGGACUGAGGAACGCGCUUCGGCACGGAUGCUGGCGUAAUGGUCAUCAAUGACCCGUCUUGAAACACGGACCAAGGAGUCGUCUUCGUAUGCGAGUGUUCGGGUGUCAAACCCCUACGCGUAAUGAAAGUGAACGUAGGUGAGAGCUUCGGCGCAUCACCGACCGAUCCUGAUGUUCUCGGAUGGAUUUGAGUAAGAGCAUACGGGGCCGGACCCGAAAGAAGGUGAACUAUGCCUGUAUAGGGUGAAGCCAGAGGAAACUCUGGUGGAGGCUCGCAGCGGUUCUGACGUGCAAAUCGAUCGUCAAAUAUGGGCAUGGGGGCGAAAGAC